AUCCGAUAUUGAAAUAGAAGUAACCACAAACCUAAUUUUGAGAAUCGAGACUCGUUCAGUUAACUUCAAGCCGAAUCGGAUUCCGGGAGCGGUUGGCGGUGGCGUGGGAAGUUGACCACCAAAGAGGUUGAGGGCGCGUAGUUUUGGCGAGUGAGGAUGGCCAUCGAUACCAUUGAUGCUCCGUCUCCGCCGUUUCAAACCGGACAAUCCGGUCUCUCGCGCCAUUUCUAUCUCGCAGUAGACAGGCUUCAGUUCAAAAUGCAAACGGUGGUUGAUCUACUAGGUUUAGUGGGUCGACGUCCAUGCUUGCCAAUUGUGGUGUGUUGUAGCAGCCGCGACGAUCUUGACUCUCUCUGCUCUUCUCUUUCCGCUCUCCCCUUCAUUUCCUCUUCUGCUUUGUACAGUGACCUUGCUGAAGAUGAACGUGCUUGUAUUUUAGAGAAAUUUCGGCAAGUGACGACAAAGUGGAACCAGACUAAUCAUUCUGGAGUAGGAAAUGAGGAUGAUGCAGGGAAAGAUGAGAGAUCUCAUAUGGUCAUUGUAACAGACGCAUGCCUUCCUCUCCUUGCUUCUGGAGAGCCUCCCAUGAAUGGUCAUCUUCUGAUUAAUUACGAGUUACCGGCAAAGAAGGAAACAUAUGGGAGGCGUAUGGCAACUUGUUUGACAGCUGAUGGAUUUGUCAUCAAUAUGGUUGUUGGUGGGGAAGUGGUAACUCUAAAAAGUAUUGAAGAAAGCAGCGGUAUUGUCAUGCAAGAGAUGCCGAUGCAAAUUCUUGACAUUUUAUGAAGAUAUUUACUCUGUCCUUGUAUGAAGAAAGCAAAGAAUUUGAUCUUGCACUUAAGACUUGAAGCUCUCUCAUUGCUUUGAAUGUUCUGUAUUUCAGCGUGGGCACUAUCAUUGACAUUAAAACUAUAUCAAGGAAAAGUUUUAAGGUAAAAUGUCCUGAAAUUUGGCACUUAUCUGGUACGAUUUGCCAAGCACUUGGGAUUUUGUAGCAUAAAGUUCCCUGAAAUCUGCGGCUUUAUAUGCGGCGUGACUGUGUUAGGGUUGGGAAAGGAUUAGCACCAAGGUUUUUUUGGGCAUGUCACAUGGAAGAAUGUUAACCAUGCAAAGGACGAGAAGAUUCAUUUCCAUAUGGAUUA